GACCUGGUGGUGAAUGGUUCCCACCCACUUUCCUUGGGCACCGUGGCUUACGAGUUAUGUGGGAGUCCCCGGUUCGACUCCGGGCUGGGUCA